rnacentral:rRNA from 2 species
AAACUUUCAACAACGGAUCUCUUGGUUCUGGCAUCGAUGAAGAACGCAGCGAAAUGCGAUAAGUAAUGUGAAUUGCAGAAUUCAGUGAAUCAUCGAAUCUUUGAACGCACAUUGCGCCCUCUGGUAUUCCGGAGGGCAUGCCUGUUCGAGCGUCAUUACACC